rnacentral:rRNA from 1 species
UACCCGCGGCCCGAGUAGUGGUCGAUAUUAUUGAGCCUAAAACGUCCGUAGCCGGUCUUCUAAAUCCUUGGGUAAAUCGGGCAGCUUAACUGUCCGAAGUCCGGGGAGACUGGAAGACUUGGGACCGGGAGAGGUCAGAGGUACUUCUGGGGUAGGGGUAAAAUCCUGUAAUCCUGGAAGGACCACCGGUGGCGAAGGCGUCUGACUAGAACGGAUCCGACGGUGAGGGACAAAGCCCUGGGGCGCAAACGGG